ensembl:snRNA U1 U1 spliceosomal RNA
AUACUUAUCUGCCAAGGAUAAUUCCAUAAUAACAAAGGUAGUUUCCCCAGGCAAAAGCUUAUCAGAUGCACUCCAGAUGGUGUGACCCCUGCAAUUUCCCCAAAGGUGGGAAAAUCAGUUGCAUAAUUUGUGUUAAUGGGGGGACAAAGUUCUUACUCUUCCC